AUUUCAAAUACUUUUUUUUUCUAAAGCACAUUGUCCAAUAUUGUUAGGAAAAAUAAGUCAUGAAAUUGAUUUUUGUUAUGUUUCCUUCCAAUCAUUAUGAAAAGCCAUUGACUGUAAGCUAAAAAUGGAAAAGAAAGAAGAAAAGAACCAAAGCCUGGCACUCAAAAUGAAAGGAUGGAGACAUUAACCAUUUAUGAGCCUGACUUUUUUUUUUUAUUUUAAAGAGCAAGUGAAUUAAUAUUUUGUGUUGAACUCAAUUUUCAACUAGAUUUUCAAAGAAGCACUGAAUGCUCCUCUUUUAUGUUUAGGAAAAACUUGUGUUUUUAACAACUAACUCCAUUUCUGGGAGACUGAAGCUCUUACACAUUUUACAAAUUAUUUUCUUGGCUACAGCAAACAAGCUCACCCCUGGAGCACCUCCUGAUGCCCCAGAGACAGGGCUUCUCAGACUGCAGGACAGACUCCUGGGACUCUCCUGGUGAUCUUUUUCGAAUGCAGAUUGAUGCCACUACUUGCUUGAGAGAGAGAGAGACAGACAGACAGCGAGAGGGAGAGAGAGAAGACAAUAAUGUUCAAUAUAUAUAUGGUCAUACCCGGAGCCCUAAACAAGACUUUCGAAAAGAUACUCUGCAGUAAACUUGCAUUACAUUUGCAAACAGAAAAAAAUAUUAUUUUGGAGAAAAGGAUCUAAGUGCUUCAUGUAAUGGCUAUAUUCAGAUAUAUUUGUCUUUUCUGAGAAGAAAGCCAGCAGUCCACUCAGAUAAUAUCAAGAAGCUGAAACCCACCAAAUCACUGCAUCUGGACAAUGAGAUGCCAGACUCCUCACAGUCAUGGUCAUAAUUGCUUAACUGACCACUUGCUUCCUGUUGACCAACUCCUCUUCCUUACCGCUCCCUAAUUCCUGUUUUCCCACACAAGGUUACAUUUCUUCCCUGCUACAUAAACCCCUAAUUUCAGUCAGUCAGGAAGAUGGAUUUGAGGCUGAUCUCCCAUCUCCUCAGCUGCAGCACCCAAUAAAGCCUUUGUCCUUAGCAACACUUGCUGUCUCAGUGAUUGGCUUUCUGUGCAGCAAGCUGCAGAAUCUAGAGUGAACCGCUGGUGUUUUUGGUAACAAAGAAAACUCCUGCCUUCAAAUUCCCUGGGGAUCUCAUUGGAAAGAUAGGAAAAUAGGCGCUUUUCAGAAUAUUGUGGAACAAUAAUGCAAUCACAGGGUAUAAAGGGUCCUUAUAGAAAUUGAAAGUAACUCCAGACUGAGGGGUUAAGGACAGACAAGCUGGAGAAGAAGCUGUUGUCUGCUCUGAGAUUCAGCAUAAGAAUCCCACCACUUGUUAUAUCAUAAUAACCAGUAUCUCUUACCUGAAUUUGGCAGUUGCUUUACUCCACCAUUUUCUAAACUACCUGACCCAUUUUUCACCUACAUGACAUUUGAUGCUUAAAAGGAUUACCUUGAAUGGACAAAUACAGCCCCUUAAGAGUGACCACUUUGCAUCUGCCCUGCAGUGACCUGCCUUCAUCUCCAGGGAAGGAGUUGAGAUUCAGUUAGCAGCAAUAAAAAUCUCUAGAUGCUCUUUUUCUUUGGAUACACUACUUAGCAUAUCUGAACCUCAGCCUACCAAAUGGACCUUCAGUAGUACCCAGCCCAUUAUAAAUAUUUUUUUUGAAUUUAAUAUAGUAUAAAGAUGAGGGAAGGUUCUGAAAAAAUAUAUUUUUUAAAAAAAUAGUCAAAUAAGGAUAUUUCAUACAUAAAGGUGAUUUCUCCAUAUUCAGUGUAAAAUUAUCAUUUAUAAACUUUAUUUGUUAAUAUUAAUU
rnacentral:lncRNA from 1 species